CCCAAGAGUUAGAGAUGGUCUAAUGUACUACAACAAACAAAUAAUUUAUGUAUGUACAAUUCAAAGAAUCAAGUAAUUAAUGGUCCCUCGUUAAAAAAAAAAAAAGGAAGGACAAUAUUAGAGAGAUUAAAUUUAUAAAUCAAAUGAUGUGUCAUCAAUAGAAAAUAAGCAAGUUAAUUGACACUUAACAAUAAUCCAAUAAUAAGUCUUCACAUCAUUUGAUUUACAAAACUUAAUUUAAAAUUUUGAUCUCGCUAUCAUUAAAUUAAAAAAAAAAUACUAAAAGUUGGGGUCACUGCAUGAUCGAGCCGGUUAAUUGUACGUUGAGAGUUUGAAUUUAUUCAUUAUCAACUUGCUUUUUCAUUGACAAAUCACAUCCUAACAUGAUAAUGACUUUGCUCAAAUCAUGGCCAUUCAACAACUAAGAUAUUUUCGGAUCGAAUAGGGAUCCUCUUUGAAUUUUUUUUAUGAGAAUUCUAGAGAUCCUUUAAUUACAUUCGUUCAUCACACAUCGUACGAUCAAUUUUGAUCAAGUAUUGUUUAUAUUUAAUUUUAAAUAAAAAAAUUUACAAUAAUUUCUGACCACACGAUAUACGAUAAACGAAUAUGAUUGAAAAUCGAUAGAAUCCUCAAAAAUAGAAUCCGAAGAAGAUCCUCAUUCUUUUGGAAUCGUGAAAAAAACGAGGAUACUUUAUUUUUCUUGAUCUAACCUUUUCUCUCUUCCGGUCCGGAUCUGGUAGCAAUUUGCAUGCUUUGUACUUAUGUUCUAGUUUUUUUUUUUUUUCCUUCUUUAUUCAACUGAUCAAUUAUUAUAACCAUGAUUAUGAUUACUUAACACUGUUACAAUGUCCACCUUCUUAUUUCUUACCCCCCCCUUCUAUAUUUACACCCCCAAUUAAAAGUAAAAAGAGAGCAAAGUUAUCUCCACACUUACCAUUAUUCCUUAAAUAGCCUAAACAGUCCAAUAUUGUUUUUUCCUUGAAUCCAACCAGUAAUCCCUUCGUUAACCCUACAAGAAAAAUGGGCUAAGAACACAAUUGAUUGGUGCCCUUCUCAUUUUCAUUGAGCACAAAUAUAUAUUUGUGCUUUUUAAAUUCCAUUGAGCACCAAAAUACCUCAAAUGUGCCCUCUAACAUAAAGGCACAUUAGUUUGUGUCGGGUAUUUGUGCCUACUAAAAUUUGAACACCAAACUUUGUGUCCAGCUUGCUUGUCAGGGAUGAAAUUUUUUUUUUAUUAAUUUACACAAACACAAUAAAGGCUUUUGUGCCCUCUAUUUUAAUAUGUUUAAAUAAAAAAAUUAUAUUUUCGUGUCUUUUACAUUUAAUAUUUCCUAUUCCCAACUAUUUUUUUCUUGUUUACAAUUUGUGAAAAUAUCUAGUUGCAAUCAAUUUGAAUUAUUAAUGGUGAUAAAUAUUAUAUUCUAUUUAAAUAAUACUUAUCGUAAUGAACGCGUGGUUACAAACUGAUGUGAAUUCGGAAUUAGAACGAGUAAGUUACGAAUUUUUAAAAUUAGAAGGCAAAAUGGUAAAAUUUUGGGAAGGAGUAUUCUAGAAGCCAAAGCUUCUCCCAUUUUACUUUCCCGACAAGCACAUGUAGCAGGGACCCACCCACGUGGGUCUUCACCCUUCCCACCUAAUUAUAUAUAUAUAUAAUAGUAUUAAAUUAUUAUUUUAUUAAUUUUAUGAUGGAUUUUUGUGCUCCUCCAUCUUUUUUCUAUCCCGGCACAAAUGCAACAAGGACCCACCCACGUGGGUCUUCACCCUUCCCCAUGCUUCUACUCCUCUCUGCACUGCAUCACUCUUCUGUCUCCCUCCUUCACGCAACCCUUUCUCUCACUUUCUCACUUUACUUCUUCAUAAUUUUCUCUGUGAUCUCCUUCACCAUCUCUGUGCUCACUGCACAGAAAACCUCAGCAUCCAUCUCCAUCUAACUAGCCACUCCGGCGAACCUUGCCACCACCCAAACACUACAUGCCACCCUCGCUCUCUCACAAUCUUUUUGUCUCUCCCUCUCGGCUUCUUCCUUGACACAGAGAAGCACAUAAGCAAUGACGGCGGCGGAGCUGGCGAUCUCCGGCGAGGCAACCACCAGCGUCACCUUCCUCUCCUCUCUGCAGACUCCCCUUUACCUUUUGCUUUCUGAAAAUCGAAACCGACGCGAUGAAAUGACAAGGUCCGUCGCGGCUUGACUCCUUGGCGAGAUUUUCCGUCGAAUUCAGUAUGGGUGAGUCUUGAAAACACCUUAGUUAGGUUCUUUAAGUUGUUUAGAGACGCUUUCGUGCACUGCAUGCCUGAUUUGGUUAAGUUUGGAUGCAGUUUCAACUUAGGGGACAAAUUCCCCUGAUUUCCAGCGAGGGCUAUGAUUUUAGGCUAUCACCGGCCACUCAAUGGCCUUGAAGUAGGUAAAUUUCGAAUACUUACCUUUGUAGCUUUGUUUUAGCUUUUGAAUUGUUGAAAAUGGUUGUGUUUUGGACCAAAACGGACUCUGAAACCCCUGGCGUGGCUGCAGGUCGCACUGUCGCUGUGCGUGGAGCUGUUGUGGAUGGCGCGUGGAGCACAGGCGCCUCCACCGGAAGGAUGAUUGCCUGAAAGGAUGAAUAUACGUUUUCAAAUGUUUGUUUUAGAUUGUAGGGUAUUUCGAAUUUGUUAUUUUUUAAAAAAAAAAAUUAAUUGAUAAGGCACAAUUACAAAAAUUGUGCUAACAUGAAUCUGAAAUGGCAUCUGACACAGGUGUCAGAACAGGACACAAAAAAAACCUUAUUUGUGCUCAAUGUUUGAGCACACAUGGCUGUAUCGUGCCCUCUAAUCAAUGGUGACGCCCAUAGAGGGCACAGACCCAAAGAUAGUAGCUGCAUUGUUGCUAUUGGUCUAUGGGCACAAUUGUUGGUGCUUUUUGAUCUCAAAGGGCACAUAUAAUUUAUUAUGCGCAGUGCUCAUUUUUUUUGUAGUGUAAACUCAAUAUUGAAGAAUUUAUUGGUAAGUUCAUCGCUUCUCAAUUUCGCAACCUUUUAAAUCAAUAAACUAAGCCUUCUAGCAUCUAAUUAAAACAAACAAACAAAACCAGAUACAAUUAAUCUUUUGCUCUUUGAAGACCAACUUUAGUAAGCUUUUUUAUGGUUCAUUAAACUCUUAUCUAAUUUUGUCGACCAAAUCACAAA
rnacentral:lncRNA from 1 species